rnacentral:rRNA from 1 species
CACGUAGGGGGCGAGCGUUGUCCGGAUUUAUUGGGCGUAAAGAGCUCGUAGGCGGCUCAGUAAGUCAGGUGUGAAAACUCCAGGCUCAACCUGGAGACGCCACCUGAUACUGCUGCGGCUAGAGUCCGGUAGGGGAGCAUGGAAUUCCUGGUGUAGCGGUGAAAUGCGCAGAUAUCAGGAGGAACACCGGUGGCGAAGGCGCCACUCUGGGCCGGCACUGACGCUGAGGAGCGAAAGCGUGGGUAGCAAACAGG